GUUUAUGCUUUUGAAUUUGAUAAAAGCCAUUCUUGUGUUGUUAGUCACACUUACCAGCGCAGUUUUCUUCGUGUUUCAGUCCCCACAAACCCAAAACCCUUCUUCAUCUUUGUCUACCAUGUCUUCUUCCUCCUCUUCAGUGGGUCGAAGCUUUGUUCUCUGGCUUCACGGUUUGGGUGACUCUGGCCCUGCCAACGAACCCAUCAAGAACUUGUUCACUUCCCCUCAGUUCAGGAACACCAAGUGGCUCUUUCCCUCUGCGCCAAAUGCCCCUGUCACUUGCAACUAUGGUCAUGUAAUGCCCUCAUGGUUUGACAUUCAUGAGAUUCCUAUAACUGCUGACUCUCCACAAGAUGAGAGUGGUUUGCUUAAAGCUGUUAAGAAUGUGCAUGCUACAAUAGACAAGGAAAUAGCUGAUGGCACAAACCCUAAUAAUGUAUUUAUCUGUGGAUUCAGUCAAGGAGGUGCAUUGACCUUGGCUAGCGUUCUGCUUUACCCAAAAACUUUAGGUGGAGGUGCAGUAUUUAGUGGCUGGGUACCAUUUAACUCAUCUUCGUCCAUCAUAGGACAAAUUUCACCCGAGGCAAAGCGGACACCACUAUUAUGGUCCCAUGGGAUUAUUGAUAGAACAGUCUUGUUUGAGGCUGGACAAGCAGGUCCCCCUUUCCUUGAAAAAAUUGGUGUUGGCUGUGAAUUUAAGGCUUAUCCUGGUCUUGCUCACUCAAUAAGCAAUGAGGAACUCCGAAAUCUGGAGUCGUGGAUCAAGACACGCCUACAGAGUUCUUCGUAAUCGUUUCUGGUCCCGCAAGAUUUUUCUCUUUUUUUCAUUUAUUAUUUUACCUUGGUGGUGGAAUUUGGUAUGGCCUGCAAGAAAGUAAAUCACCUCAAUGGCUGAAAGGGGGGAAUGGUGGAAUUUCGUAUCUUGCAUUGCAAUAUUUAUGAUAGAUUUGAUGGGGCAGCCUUCUGAUCAAUGCUUCAUUGUCCAUUUGUUAAUGUUGAAAGUUAGAAACAGGAGUGUGCAUAUGGAUACAGACAUACAGUAAAUAAAAAUAGUGACAAUAAACAGAAUGAAUUAAGUAAACAAGUAUCAAUGUUACUCCCCUUAAAAAUAUAGGGAAAACUUCAUGUAGGAAAAAAGAAUGUAAUUUUACCACAACAAGUGAUGGUAGCCACUUGAAAUUUUUUGCCUUUGUCUUACACUCUAUUUGCAAGUUGUCACUGUAGCCAUGCAGCAUUGUUUCUGCUUCUUUUUGUUGGGACCAUUUCAGAGGUGGGUUGAGAUUGAGACCACUGUGUUGUUUUAGCUGAAAAGCUGGAAAAAGUUACUGUUUUUCUAGCAUUAUCAAUUGAACCAUGUUGGCACUUGUCUAAUUAAAUAUACCUUAAUCCAUGAUUUGCAGUUUAAAAUAUAUCUUUUAGGGUUUUAGCCAUAUAUUAAUUAGACCAUUAUCCAAAACCUAAGGUAGCGUUUGUUUGAGGUACUGAAACAGAGACUAAGAGAUUGAGACUCAGUAUCAUGUUUGUUGGUUCAGAGACUGGUAUUAAAAUUUCUGUCUGUCUCCAAAAUUUCAGUAUUUCAGUACCUCUAAAAUGUGGAGACAUAGGAGACUAAAAUUUUUAGAGAUA